GAAUACGACCUUUAACUCGUAAAAAAUGUAAAACAAAAGAUGACAUUGUAGUAAUUUAAAAAAAAAUGAAAUAGGAAAACAUUGUAAUAUAUACAAUGACAUACAAGUUGAAACUAUCUGACAAUUUUGGUGUUUAAGGUGUUUGAGGAAACAUAUAUAAUUUAGCAAAAAAAAAAAGCAGUGUAGGUCUUCAUGUAGGUCUUGACUAAUUAGACACGCCCUCAGAAAAUCAGCGGAUCCAUAAAAAGAUAGGACUAAAAAAAAACAGCCAUCAAAAUACCAUAAUUCAAAAUUGGGGAGGGGG
rnacentral:lncRNA from 1 species